ACCUGGUUGGCUCAGUCGGUGGUGCAUGAGACUCUUGAUCUCAGGGUUGUGAGUUCAAGCCCCAUGUUGGGUG
rnacentral:tRNA from 1 species